AUGACCCAUUGGAAUAUAUGUGAUCUGACUGGUUUUCAGAUGAGGAGCACACUCCCAAGAGACGCAGGGAAAGGCACUUGCCAUGGAUUCUGUGCUCAUUUCGUGCCCAGGACAGAGCAGGCUGCCGAAUCUUGCCAUCUGGCCGUGGAGAGAAGUCAAAUAGACAGUGUUUUAAGUGCCUUAUCCACCCCUCAGAUGCUCUAUGUAAAGUCUAUCUUUGACUCAUGGUGGGAGGAUAGAAAAUGUGGGUAAGUUGUUACAUUUUGUAAGAACGCGUCGCGUUCUUUCCGCUUUACACUUGUAAAUUAUAUGGCAAUGUUGCAGAAAGUUAUACCUUUGGUAUCUCUUUAUAGGCCAUCUUAUCUUGUAAGUAAAAUUAAUAACAGUAAGAAAAAAAAAUUCCUUAGGAGCCUCAUGGCCUGUCCCUUACAAAAAGAUUCUUUGCUACGAAGAUGACGAUUUUACACAAUCAGACUUCUCCUGUAGUCCCUCUCAGGCCAAAAACCAGAAAUAGAGAACAGAAUAAUUGAGGCAAAGAACAUUAUCAUUACUUAUUAUAGUUAAUGGACACAAGGCUAUAGAACCAACAGAUAGUAUGAACCUGAAAUCCAGGCCCACGGAAGAAAAUGUUAGCUUCUGGGAACGAGCCUCAGAGAAUGGAUGGAAGUAACUGGAACUCAUCCCCCUCUGUGAUUUGGAGAUAGCUUACUUAUGAAAUUAAAGUGCCAGUAAGCAACAACCCUAAAAUGUAACUAAUGUCAGAUAAGAUGUAAUCUAGGAAAUUGUAAUAUGCCCAUCAUGAGGUAAUGUUGUAAUGGCAGUAGCUCUUGGGGGCUGAUAAGGAAUAUUGGAAAAGGUGGCAAAGUGAGAGAAUGACAAUUUUUAGCUUCUCAGGCAGGGACCCAGCCUGCCCGUGCCCUGACCGCUGACUCGUGCACUUUCCUGGGUGCUGGGUGUCCUGCUGCUUUGUGGACAAGAGCGGAUGGGGCUACCCCUGGAAGCUGUUCCGGGCCCCCUUCCCACUCCUCUCCAGCCACCCCUGGACUCCUCUAGAAGCUGAAAAAUCUUCAGUGGAUUUCCCAAGUUAAUUUACCAGCGCUGGCAGGAGAGAGGGCUGAGUAGCUUGGGAGGCGGGAGCAGGAAUGGGAAGAGUGUGGUCAGAAUUUGGGAGCAGGUGGUCUUCAGUUAACUCUCCCAAUCCGUUUUCUUCUCAUCUGUAAAGGGAAGAUGACAGUAUUUUCCACAUGGACUCCCGUGGAAUGUAUACCAGGUAAUUCACUCAAAAAACUCAAGGCCUCUCCCAGCUCCACCCCCCUGAAUAUUCCAGUUAGUUUGGCACUUUUAUUUCUCUAGGUAGAUGAGAAAGUUUGCACUCUGUUUCUGUUCGUUCAUUCUUUUGCUCCUCACUCAUUCUUUUGCACUCACACAUUGGUGCAGCAGAUGUUUAGGAAAUGAGGCUCCUGUGAGCUUGGGCAGUGUGAGUGGACCCUCCAGGGAUACCCCCACCCCCGCCCCAGCCAGGAUCAUGCCACCCUUUUGAAACACAAUGAAGGCCUUUGGUCACUGUGGUGGGCAUCAGAAGGCACAAGGCUCACUGGGUUGGCUUCCUUCUGGAAGUCUUUUCUGAGCACUUUGGCUCUCCCUCUGUGCUUUCCCCAAAUUCUGUGCACAGAGAAGCAGGUCAGGAUAGAGGUGGAGAGCAUGGAUUCUGGGGCCAGCUUCCGGCAUUUGAAUCCUUGCCACUUACUGGCAGGUGCUUACUCAGCCCUCUCUAUAAAGUGGGCAUAAUAACAGUGCCCAUCUCUUGGGGUUGCUAUGAGGAUGAAAGGAGUUUGUGUGCAAAGAGCUUAGAACUUUGCCUGGCACAUAAGAGGUGCUAUGUGUGAGUUAGCUAUUAUUAAUUAUUAUUAUUAUUAUUAUUAUUUUAAAAGAUUUUUUAUUAUUUAUUCAUGAUAGUCAUAGAGAGAGAGGACAGAGAGGCAGAGACACAUGCAGAGGGAGAAGCGGGCUCCAUGCCAGGAGCCCAACAUGGGAUUCGAUCCUGGACUCAGGGAUCAUGCCCUGGGCCAAAGGCAGGUGCUAAGCCGCUGAGCCACCCAGGGAUCACCUAUUAAUUAUUAUUAUUACAUUAGGUUGAACCAUAUGAAAUUUCUGCUUUUGAUGGGCAAAAACAACCCAGUAUUGGCAACUUCAUUUGGUUCAACCCCGUACCUGGCACAGUGUGCUGCAUGCUUAAAGCUCAUCUCCUGCAGUUGGGGCUGCAGGCAGUCCCUGCUGGCUCCCUGGAAGUGUCUGGGUGCUUCUGACUUACCCUGGUGACUUCCAAGGCAAGAGCAAGGUCAGAGUCACUCUUACUUGGGCCAGUGCGGCCACAGAACGGGCAAGGAAGUUUCACAAUGUCCUGCCCAGCGUAACGUCACAGUGUGCAGGGUGGUGAUUCUGGUGCUUAAGGGGAGGGGAGAGGAGGGUUGUCCUGCAUGGUUUAGCCACCAGAGAGCUUGGCCCUGGCAGGAGGCCAGGUCAGCAAGCCUGGCUGUCACUUGAGUACCUAAUCCUCCAUCUGUGCUCCCUGUCAGCUGCCUGUUGGCCUCUCUCUGGGGGCAGACCCUUAUCCCUGGGCAUUUGUCCUAACCUUGUAGUUGGCCACCUCCGACCUUAUGACCAGAAGUGUUAAAAUAUCACUCGAAGAUGGAUAUCCAGCGCAAUAUUUCCUCUGGCUCAUGGCAAGAAUAGUCCAGACCAAUACCUCUCAGUCCAGGCAAACCAAUGGACAGACGUAAAAAACAAAUAUGGGACACCUGGCUGGCUCAGGCAUAAGAGCAUGCCAUUCUUGAUCUCGGGGUCACGAGCUGCUGUUCCUUGUUGGGUGUAGAUAUUACUAGCUAACUAAAUAACUUAAAAAAAAAUAAAGUUUAAAUGAAAAAAUUUUGUUUGGCCCA
rnacentral:lncRNA from 12 species